GCACUUGCCUUGUUAGCUUACAUACUAAAACAGGAAGGGAAUACAGAUUACAGAUUAGGAUGGCCCAUGUGCAAGGAUGACAUGCAAAUUCAUGAAGCGCUUCUAACACUU
rnacentral:snRNA from 1 species